AAGUCGUAACAAGGUCUCCGUAGGUGAACCUGCGGAGGGAUCAUUCACAUGAUUUCUUGAAUUUAAACAACCUGUGAACUUAUAAAAACAACCCCCUUCUGCUUUUUUGUUUCAACAACAACAAAGUACUGAACAUUCAAUUGAACAUUAGAUAGUUGGUUUAUCAAUAAACUCAGCUGAUUGUCUUGUUUAUUCAUUUAAACAAUCAAUCAUUCACAACAUAGAAAACAACUCUAUGCCCUGGAUAUCUUGGUUCUC
rnacentral:misc_RNA from 1 species